UACGUAGGGGGCAAGCGUUGUCCGGAUUUAUUGGGCGUAAAGAGCGUGUAGGCGGCCAGGUAGGUCAGCUGUGAAAACUCGAGGCUCAACCUCGAGACGCCGGUUGAAACCAUCUGGCUAGAGUCCGGAAGAGGAGAGUGGAAUUCCUGGUGUAGCGGUGAAAUGCGCAGAUAUCAGGAAGAACACCCGUGGCUAAGGCGGCUCUCUGGGACGGUACUGACGCUGAGACGCGAAAGCGUGGGGAGCGAACAGG
rnacentral:rRNA from 1 species